rnacentral:rRNA from 1 species
UACGUAGGGGGCAAGCGUUGUCCGGAUUUAUUGGGCGUAAAGAGCGUGUAGGCGGCCAAGCAGGUCCGCUGUGAAAACUCGAGGCUCAACCUCGAGAGGUCGGUGGAAACCGUUUGGCUAGAGUCCGGAAGAGGAGAGUGGAAUUCCCGGGUGUAGCGGUGAAAUGCGCAGAUAUCGGGAAGAACACCCGUGGCGAAGGCGGCUCUCUGGGCAGUAACUGGACGCUGAGGAGCGAAAGCGUGGGGAGCAAACAGG